rnacentral:rRNA from 1 species
AGAGUUUGAUCGUGGCUCAGGGUGAACGCUGGCGAUGUGCCUAAGACAUGCAAGUCGAACGGGGCUUAUUUUCUUCACAAAGUACCUUUUAUAGGGAUUUUGUGAAGAAUUUAAUCCAAGUGGCAAACGGGUGAGUAUAAAAUACGAACGUACUCUGAAGCGGGGAAUAGCCCACCGAAAGGUGGGGUAAUACCCCAUAGUCCCUCCGGGGUAAAGAUGCAAAUCACUUCAGAAGCGGCGUAUUUACUACCAGCUAGUUGGUGAGGUAAUGGCUCACCAAGGCUAUGACGGUUAACGGCUCUUAGCGGAGAGUCCGUCACAAUGGGACUGAGACACGGCCCAUACACCUACGGGUGGCAGCAGUUAGGAAUUUUGCGCAAUGGACGAAAGUCUGACGCAGCGACAUCGCGUGAAGGAUGAAGGCCCUCGGGUCGUAAACUUCUUUUGUUUGGGCAAGAAGCCCUUACGAAUAAGGAACUACUAACUACGUGCCAGCAGUCGCGGUAAUACGUAGGUUCCAAGCGUUACCCGGUUUUAUUGGGCGUAAAGAGUCUGUAGGUGGUUUUUUAAGUCUUGUUUCAAAGACUCCGGCUCAACCGGAGAAAGGGGCAGGAUACUGAAAGACUAGAGUUAUAUCGGGGUUACUGGAAUUGACUGUGUAGGGGUAAAAUCCGUGGAUACAGUCAAGAACACCAAGCGCGAAGGCGGGUAACCAGGUAUAUACUGACACUCAGAGACGAAAGCUAGGGUAGCAAAUCAGAUUAGAGACCUGAGUAGUCCUAGCCGUAAACGAUGUCCGUUAAUUCUUUCUCGAUUUAUCGGGGAGGGAUGUAAGCUAACGCGUUAAACGGACCGCCUGGGGAGUAUAGCCGCAAGGCCGAAACUCAAACGAAUUGGCGGGGAGGCGCACAACCAGUGGAGCAUGUGGUUCAAUUCGAUACGAAGCGAUGAACCUUACCCGGGUUUGAAAUGUACCUGCACGGCCCCAGAAACGGGGCAAGCCUUAGAGGGUGGUACACAGCUGUUGCAUGGCUGUCGUCAGCUCGUGACGUGAGUUGUUCUCUUAAGUGAGGUAACGAGCGCAACCCCCAUUCUGUGUUACUAUGUCACAGAAGACUGCCCAGCAUUAUUUUGUUGGGAGGAAGGAGGGGACGACGUCAAGUCAUCAUGAUGCUUAUAUCCGGGGCUACACACAUCCUACAAUGGGUGGUACAGAGGGUCGCAAUACCGCGAGGUGGAGCUAAUCCUUAAAACCUCCCUCAGUUGGGAUUGCAGGCUGAANNUGCGGUGAAUACGUUCUCGCCUCUUGCACACACUGCCCGUCAAAUCAGCAAAGUUGGGGGUACCCAAAGUCUUACCUCGUGUAGGACCAAGGUAAAUCCAGCGAUGAGGGUUAAGUCGUAACAAGGUAUCCGUACUGGAAGGUGCGGAUG